GUGCACCAGGCGCGAAACUUCACAAUGUGCGAAAGCACGAUGAGGGAAUCCCAAGUGCUUGCACGUAAGUGUAAGCUGUUUCUCUGUCUAAAACGCAGAGAGAGUAAGGGCUGGGUAAGACGGGUGCCAGCCGCCGCGGUAAUACCUGCAGCUCGAGUGGUGACCGUUAUUAUUGGGCCUAAAACGUCCGUAGCCGGUUUAAUAAAUGCCUGGGUAAAUCGGACCGCUUAACGGUUCGAAUUCCGGGUAGACUGUUAAACUUGAGACCGGGAGAAGUUAGAGGUACUCCUGGGGUAGAGGUGAAAUUCUGUAAUCCUAGGGGACCACCAGUGGCGAAGGCGUCUAACUAGAACGGGUCUGACGGUGAGGGACGAAGCCCUGGGGCGCAAACGGGGAUUAGAUACCCCUGUAGU
rnacentral:rRNA from 1 species